rnacentral:tRNA from 1 species
CGGGUGUAGUUUAGUGGUAGAAUUCCAGCCUUCCAAGCUGGUCGUGUGGGUUCGAUUCCCAUCACCC